rnacentral:rRNA from 1 species
AUUGAACGCUGGCGGCAUGCCUUACACAUGCAAGUCGAACGGCAGCACGGGAGCUUGCUCCUGGUGACGAGUGGCGAACGGGUGAGUAAUGCAUCGGAACGUACCCAGUCGUGGGGGAUAACGUAGCGAAAGUUACGCUAAUACCGCAUACGUCCUGAGGGAGAAAGCGGGGGGACCGUAAGGCCUCGCGCGAUUGGAGCGGCCGAUGUCGGAUUAGCUAGUUGGUAGGGUAAAGGCCUACCAAGGCGACGAUCCGUAGCGGGUCUGAGAGGAUGAUCCGCCACACUGGGACUGAGACACGGCCCAGACUCCUACGGGAGGCAGCAGUGGGGAAUUUUGGACAAUGGGCGAAAGCCUGAUCCAGUUAUGCCGCGUGAGUG